ACAGCCCUGGACAACUUUCAGGAAGACAGUUCUGGUCUGUAGCAAUUAACACAUGGUCAUCCUCAGAAAAAGGUCCUCUCAAUUAUUUCCCAGAGAUACCCAUAACUUAAAAUGCAGGAACCAAGAGAUUUGAGCCUAGACAUUUGGAUGAAAAGCGAUUUCCACCUGGAGAAAGUCACUGCCCUUCUGUGCAGAGUACCAUUGUGUCUUGAAUCCAGCUUGGCCAUAAGGAAAUGGGGCGAGACUUUGUCAUGUAUGUCGCUGAAGUUCAGCUAUGCAAAAAUGUUCACCUAUCCUUGAUCAACCAGUCCAGGAACCAUCAAAGAAGAAAAUGAGAUUCGACUUAGAAGACCUGUUCUUUAUAAACCCCUGCACAGCCCUAAUGAUCAACACCACUUCCAGUGCUCAUAAAUUACUGCUUCAAUAAUUGUUCUGCAAUUCUGCCUAUUCUCAUUGAAUGCUUCGUAUAAUCCCUUUAUUUACUUUGGGCUACGAUUCAUUUUUAUCAGUGAGUAUUGUACUUGUUUCAUCUCAAAAAUCAUUCUCCUUGAGAAAAAAAAAAAGAACAGAGUUGAGGAAUCCUGCUUUCUCUUUCAUCCACAAAUGCUCUAUUGUCAGAAGGGGGCUUAUAUUUCUUGUGAACUUCUUGUGCUGAUUUUAACUUUGUAAAGUUUUCCUGUUUUCCACGUAUGAAUGAGCAUGAGAACUAUGAAAGGCAAUCAGGUAUAAGAUAUUGUCAAGUAUGUGACUUGAGGGACAAGUGAUCUAUGUGAGCCUGAAGGGAAUCCUGGGAUUGAGAGAGCAUGCAGAGAAGGCACAUAGGUGUGCUAGGGCAUGCAGGUUGUACAGAGAUGGACAGGGAGAAAAUUCGAGUGACAGAGGUUUUCUAUAUGGUGGGAGUAGUGUGGGUUGGCGUCUAUCAGGGGAGACCAACUGACCAUAUCCCUCUGUUCACUUUUAGCCAUGAGUACAAGGCUACAAGAACUCGAG
rnacentral:lncRNA from 1 species